GAUGAAGAACGUAGUGAAAUGCGAUAAGUAAUGUGAAUUGCAGAAUUCAGUGAAUCAUCGAAUCUUUGAACGCACAUUGCGCUCCCUGGUAUUCCGGGGAGCAUGCCUGUUCGAGCGUCAUUACAACCCUCAAGCUCAGCUUGGUGUUGGGCCCCGCCGCCCCGGCGGGCCCUAAAGUCAGUGGCGGUGCCGUCCGGCUCCGAGCGUAGUAAUUCUUCUCGCUCUGGAGGUCCGGUCGUGUGCUCGCCAGCAACCCCCAAUUUUUUUCAGGUUGACCUCGGAUCAGGUAGGGAUACCCGCUGAACUUAAGCAUAUCAAUAAGCGGAGGA
rnacentral:misc_RNA from 1 species